rnacentral:rRNA from 1 species
GAUACGGGACUCAUCCGAGGCCCCGUAAUCGGAAUGAGUACACUUUAAAUCCUUUAACGAGGACCAAUUGGAGGGCAAGUCUGGUGCCAGCAGCCGCGGUAAUUCCAGCUCCAAUAGCGUAUAUUAAAGUUGUUGCGGUUAAAAAGCUCGUAGUUGAAUCUGUGUGUCACGAUGUUGGUUCACCGCUCGCGGUGUUUAACUAGCAUGCCGUGAGACGUCCUACCGGUGGGCUUAGCUCUUCACGGGGCGGUCCAACUAAUAUCCCAUCGCGGUGCUCUUCAUUGAGUGUCGAGGUGGGCCGGUACGUUUACUUUGAACAAAUUAGAGUGCUUAAAGCAGGCUAUCUUCGCCUGAAUACUGUGUGCAUGGAAUAAUGGAAUAGGACCUCGGUUCUAUUUUGUUGGUUUUCGGAACCCCGAGGUAAUGAUUAAUAGGGACAGAUGGGGGCAUUCGUAUUGCGACGUUAGAGGUGAAAUUCUUGGAUCGUCGCAAGACGGACAGAAGCGAAAGCAUUUGCCAAAAAUGUUUUCAUUAAUCAAGAACGAAAGUUAGAGGUUCGAAGGCGAUCAGAUACCGCCCUAGUUCUAACCAUAAACGAUGCCAGCUAGCGAUCCGCCGAAGUUCCUCCGAUGACUCGGCGGGCAGCUUCCGGGAAACCAAAGCUUUUGGGUUCCGGGGGAAGUAUGGUUGCAAAGCUGAAACUUAAAGGAAU